rnacentral:rRNA from 1 species
GAUGAACGCUAGCGACAGGCUUAACACAUGCAAGUCGAGGGGCAGCAUGAGGUAGCAAUACCUUGAUGGCGACCGGCGCACGGGUGAGUAACGCGUAUGCAACCUGCCCGAUACCGGGGUAUAGCCCAUGGAAACGUGGAUUAACACCCCAUAGUACUUUUAUCCUGCCUGGGAUGGGAGUUAAAUGUUCAAGGUAUCGGAUGGGCAUGCGUCCUAUUAGUUAGUUGGCGGGGUAACAGCCCACCAAGACGAUGAUAGGUAGGGGUUCUGAGAGGAAGGUCCCCCACAUUGGAACUGAGACACGGUCCAAACUCCUACGGGAGGCAGCAGUGAGGAAUAUUGGUCAAUGGACGUAAGUCUGAACCAGCCAAGUCGCGUGAGGGAAGACUGCCCUAUGGGUUGUAAACCUCUUUUAUAAGGGAAGAAUAAGUUCUACGUGUAGAAUGGUGCCUGUACCUUAUGAAUAAGCAUCGGCUAACUCCGUGCCAGCCGCCGCGGUAAAAC